AAUUAAUUUAAUAUGAUAAAAGUUUUUUUUCAGUUCACUUAAAUUAAUGGGCUAUAAUUAUUUUUUAAUAUUUUAUAUACAGGGUGUACAUGCAUACAUGGAUAUAUUUAGAUCUUCUUCUUCCACUUGUAUGGAAGAAGAUCAUCUAAAUAAAGAGCUAAGUUAUAUAAGGGAUGUAGAGCUAAAAUUACGGAUACACUGAAGCUUGGUUAAAGGAUAUAUAUGGUAAAGUAAAAAAACAGCUUAAGACAGAGAAGAUGCCCAAGAGAGGAAUGGCUUUAUACCUGUACCACACCACCUGGCAAAACUGAACUUUGUGAAGGGGAUAGCUAGAAAAGAAAAGAAAAAGAUAAUGUAUCAAAGAAGUCCAACACUUUUCAAUACCUCAAGGAAUGAUAAAGACCAGCUUAAGCAAAACGAAAGAAAAGUUGUACAUAGUAUCCCCCUAGUAGACAAUAACAUGGAAGAGCAAUUAGCAUAUGUGGGAGUAACAACUAGAACAAUAGAGAGGAGAAUGGAAGAGCACAAAGAAGACAUUUCAAAAGCUAACCUUAGUACAGCCCUUGUGGCAACAGUCUAUGAAAGAGAUAUUACAAUAAAAUGGGACA
rnacentral:lncRNA from 1 species